GUGAAAUGUUGAGAAUCAUGGCUGGCAACACUUGACAAAGAUACGAAAAGUCAAUGGAACAUCAUUAGGGAGGAUAUUGUUCAUGUACAUGCCAUUGACUGUGCUAAGCUCCACUUUCAAGUUUGUACAUCAAAUGAGACAAUAAUGAUGAAGGUCUUCUUUGGCAGAAAAAUACAUUGCCAGCUAAAUGUAAUUUGACCUUCCUAGAACUGUUUUAUAGUAGACUCAAGAAUCAUUAUUGAUGAAACCAGAAUCAAUCAGCAAUCUUCUCAUUUACACACUUGCUUCCAAACAACAUAAAGAAAGAGCCAAGCAUCUGCCUUAUCUGUUGCAAAGAGGAUGAAGAAAUGAAAACUUAGAAAGUCAUAAUAAUCGCUACCAAUUACAGGGCUUCUACUCUGUAAAUUACCUUUGUUAACUCCUGCAAAGCAUAAUCAGAUGACAUCUUUUCUUCCAACAAAUUUUGUUCCCUUAAGAGCAUACUGUGGUCAGACUCCACGGCCCAGCACCCUCUCCAUUAUAAGACCUACGGAGUCAGAAAUUUCCAUGGGAUGGGUCUGAAAUCCAUAUGCUCAAGGUGACCUGAAUACCUGGAAAACCUGGGAAAAUACCACUUCCAGGGGGUACACUCCUCCAAAAGAAGUCUAGAAAACUUGGGUGCGCUGUCUGCAGAUUGAGCUCAUGCUAA